ACAGUACCAGCGGCUAUCGUCUUCGACCUGGCCGCGUUCUAUUGCCAUCCUGGUAGAGCGUAGUGCAUUUUUGUGUUAGUGGAGAGCUGGUCUGAUUUACGACGAUUUUAUGCAUAUAAGUUAUCAUACAGCCAGUGCCGUAAGUCAGAGACGGAGUGCCAGCAGUUGUCAUCUUCAAGCUAGAGAUUUUGUACUAGCCUGGCGUAGUUUAAUGCAUUCUUGUGUCAUUGAUGGUCUGACUGUACAAUGAUUUUAUGCAUGUAAAUUUUCACAUGGUCAGUUACAUAAGUCAGAAACAAAGUGGCAGCGUGCAUUAACUGUUCAGCAUUCGUCAGCAGCACAGUGGGAAUAGGGGUGGCUGCGUCCACGGCAGGCAUGAGUGGACGUUGUGUCGUGGGUGAGCGGCACCGCGGCGGCGACAUUGCGUGGUGGUGGUGGUGGCUGUUGUCUACUCCCCGUCUCUGGCCUCCCCCUACCGCAUCUCUACUCCCUGCCUGCCAGCCGUCACGUUUCCGCAAUCCACUAACAGACUGGCUGUGAGUCAAUGAAAUGUCUCCAUCUCACGCAUUCGGGGCUUCGAGUCGCACAGACGGCUGAGCGAAGAGGCAAGACUGGCCGGCCCACAACACAGUCACCAGGCAUCGGGAAAUCUUGCCGUACACACCAAAAGAAUACUGGUGCAUCAUGGACCUCCAGGAGACAGGCAGUACACACUGAACCGUAUCCCGGAGUGGCACCACCAUUGGAUAAAGUACAGCCGAUGCUCGCUACCCAUGAUGAGUACCCUGAUAAUUUCCCAGGUCAGAAGGUAGGGUGGCGUGACCUGUAGGGUGGUGCUACGAGGUAUGAUGUCCACUGAUUCCAAACAGAGGCUGAGGAGUUUUUGAUGUGGACAGCGUAACGGUUGGGCUGACUCGCUCAAAUGCAAACUCCAAUAACUCCGCUUCGCUAGUAGUCAGUGGAGGAUUUUCUUGUACGACAAUGCUCCUUGAGGAAUGACUUUCUUAGUGAUGCGGGACUUCUGUACCACUAUGCCUUGCGUUUUCCUGCACCAGCUGAAAGGAACACAGAGAAGGAACGAGCAGCAGCAGACUUGUUAUUCUUAAGUUUAUUUGUGAUUAGUUGCUGGUACACAUUAAAGCAGCAUUUCCAAA